rnacentral:misc_RNA from 1 species
UCCGGCUUUCACCGGCUGUCUCGCCAGAGUGCCCAUCCGAAAUGCUGGCAACUGGCGAUAAGGGUUGCGCUCGUUGCGGGACUGAACCCAACAUCUCACGACACGAGCUGACGACAACCAUGCACCACCUGUCACCGCUGCCCCGAAGGGAGGCUCCAUCUCUGGAGCGGUCAGCGGGAUGUCAAGCCCUGGUAAGGUUCUUCGCGUUGCUUCGAAUUAAACCACAUGCUCCACCGCUUGUGCGGGCCCCCGUCAAUUCCUUUGAGUUUCAGCCUUGCGGCCGUACUCCCCAGGCGGAGUGCUUAAUGGGUUACCUUCGGCACCGAGGGUAGGACCCCCCGACACCUAGCACUCAACGUUUACGGCGUGGACUAC